rnacentral:rRNA from 1 species
UACGAAGGGGGCUAGCGUUGCUCGGAAUCACUGGGCGUAAAGGGCGCGUAGGCGGCGCGGGUAGUCAACGGUGAAAGCUUGGGCUCAACCCCGAGUCGGCCGUCGAUACUCCCGCGCUCGAGCACUGUAGAGGCAGGUGGAAUUCCGGGUGUAGCGGUGGAAUGCGUAGAGAUCCGGAAGAACACCGGUGGCGAAGGCGGCCUGCUGGGCAGUAGCUGACGCUGAGGCGCGAAAGCGUGGGGAGCAAACAGGAUUGAGAAACCCUGGG